rnacentral:rRNA from 1 species
GGUGCAUGACGCGCUUGAUCGUCUCUUGCCUUGUGUGUCAACGCCAGUUCGCGAUCGAGGAAAACUCCAGGGUCAUGGUAGCUCGUCUACGGGUGAGUGAAUAGCCUUGGCAGAACUCAUUUGCGGACUGUUUCUUUCGUGUCUGGUUGCAGUGUCCUUGGCACUCUGGAAGCUCGUCUUGGCUUGCCACUGGCGGGGGACCUGGGUGACUUGGGCAUUUCCCUGACACAAAGACGAUGACUAAAUGGUUCUAUUCGACCCGUCUUGAAACACGGACCAAGGAGUCUAACAUAUGUGCGAGUCCACGGGUGGUAAACCUGCUGGCGCAGUGAAAGCGACUGCUGGGAUCUUUGCACCAGCAACCGACCAAUCAAUUGAGAGAGGUUUGAGUAUGAGCAUAUCUGUUAGGACCCGAAAGAUGGUGAACUAUGCCUGAGAAGGGCAAACUCAGGGGAAACUCUGAUGGAGGCUCGUAGCGAUACUGAC